GACGAACGCUGGCGGCGUGCUUAACACAUGCAAGUCGAACGGAAAGGCCCUGCUUUUGUGGGGUGCUCGAGUGGCGAACGGGUGAGUAACACGUGAGUAACCUGCCCUUGACUUUGGGAUAACUUCAGGAAACUGGGGCUAAUACCGGAUAGGAGCUCCUGCUGCAUGGUGGGGGUUGGAAAGUUUCGGCGGUUGGGGAUGGACUCGCGGCUUAUCAGCUUGUUGGUGGGGUAGUGGCUUACCAAGGCUUUGACGGGUAGCCGGCCUGAGAGGGUGACCGGCCACAUUGGGACUGAGAUACGGCCCAGACUCCUACGGGAGGCAGCAGGGGGGAAUAUUGCACAAUGGGCGGAAGCCUGAUGCAGCAACGCCGCGUGCGGGAUGACGGCCUUCGGGUUGUAAACCGCUUUCGCCUGUGACGAAGCGUGAGUGACGGUAAUGGGUAAAGAAGCACCGGCUAACUACGUGCCAGCAGCCGCGGUGAUACGUAGGGUGCGAGCGUUGUCCGGAUUUAUUGGGCGUAAAGGGCUCGUAGGUGGUUGAUCGCGUCGGAAGUGUAAUCUUGGGGCUUAACCCUGAGCGUGCUUUCGAUACGGGUUGACUUGGGGAAGGUAGGGGAGAAUGGAAUUCCUGGUGGAGCGGUGGAAUGCGCAGAUAUCAGGAGGAACACCAGUGGCGAAGGCGGUUCUCUGGGCCUUUCCUGACGCUGAGGAGCGAAAGCGUGGGGAGCGAACAGGCUUAGAUACCCUGGUAGUCCACGCUGUAAACGGUGGGUACUAGGUGUGGGGUCCAUUCCACGGGUUCCGUGCCGUAGCUAGCGCUUUAAGUACCCCGCCUGGGGAGUACGACCGCAAGGCUAAAACUCAAAGGAAUUGACGGGGCCCCGCACAAGCGGCGGAGCAUGCGGAUUAAUUCGAUGCAACGCGUAGAACCUUACCUGGGUUUGACAUGGAUCGGGAGUGCUCAGAGAUGGGUGUGCCUCUUUUGGGGUCGGUUCACAGGUGGUGCAUGGCUGUCGUCAGCUCGUGUCGUGAGAUGUUGGGUUAAGUCCCGCAACGAGCGCAACCCUUGUUCACUGUUGCCAGCACGUUAUGGUGGGGACUCAGUGGAGACCGCCGGGGUCAACUCGGAGGAAGGUGGGGAUGACGUCAAGUCAUCAUGCCCCUUAUGUCCAGGGCUUCACGCAUGCUACAAUGGCUGGUACAGAGAGUGGCGAGCCUGUGAGGGUGAGCGAAUCUCGGAAAGCCGGUCUCAGUUCGGAUUGGGGUCUGCAACUCGACCUCAUGAAGUCGGAGUCGCUAGUAAUCGCAGAUCAGCAACGCUGCGGUGAAUACGUUCCCGGG
rnacentral:rRNA from 1 species